CAUGAUUCGUAUAAUUCUGAAAGUAGAAUCAUUCUAGAAAACAUCGUACAAUGGAGCGGAUGAUUAAUAUUUUAGCGCUGUCCGCUUGUUUGCUGAUUGCGUUUCUCUGUGGGGCAAUUCCAGAUUGCGACACGGAUCCAGUGACGAUGCUCUGUAGAUUGAACCCUUGAAUAACAAAUAAAUGCAACCUUUUGAACUGAAUAAUUGAAAAGUUUUGCUGCUAAAUUUAUUGGCUUAUUGUACAAAACUAAAACAUGAGACUCUAAAUUAAUAAAGUAAAUAAAUAUAUGAUGAAAAAAGUUCAUUA